UACAGAGGUCUCAAGCGUUGUUCGGAUUCAUUGGGCGUAAAGGGUGCGUAGGCGGCGCGGUAAGUCGGGUGUGAAAUCUCGGAGCUUAACUCCGAAACUGCAUUCGAUACUGCCGUGCUUGAGGACUGGGAGAGGAGACUGGAAUUUACGGUGUAGCGGUGAAAUGCGUAGAUAUCGUAAGGAAGACCAGUGGCGAAGGCGGGUCUC
rnacentral:rRNA from 1 species